rnacentral:rRNA from 1 species
UAGGGAAUCUUCCACAAUGGACGCAAGUCUGAUGGAGCAACGCCGCGUGAGUGAAGAAGGUUUUCGGACCGUAAAGCUCUGUUGUUGGUGAAGAAGGAUAGAGGUAGUAACUGGCCUUUAUUUGACGGUAAUCAACCAGAAAGUCACGGCUAACUACGUGCCAGCAGCCGCGGUAAUACGUAGGUGGCAAGCGUUGUCCGGAUUUAUUGGGCGUAAAGCGAGCGCAGGCGGAAGAAUAAGUCUGAUGUGAAAGCCCUCGGCUUAACCGAGGAAUUGCAUCGGAAACUGUUUUCUUGAGUGCAGAAGAGGAGAGUAGAACUCCAUGUGUAGCGGUGGAAUGCGUAGAUAUAUGGAAGAAUACCAGUGGCGAAGGCGGCUCUCUGGUCUGCAACUGACGCUGAGGCUCGAAAGCAUGGGUAGCGAACAGGAUUAGAUACCCUGGUAGUCCAUGCCGUAAAACGAUGAGUGCUAAGUGUUGGGGAG